rnacentral:lncRNA from 1 species
CUAUGCUGCAACCAAAAGCUUUCUUGAUCAUGGAUGGUGAAGAUAUACCAGAUUUUUCAAGUUUAAAGGAGGAAACUGCUUAUUGGAAGGAACUUUCCUUGAAGUAUAAGCAAAGCUUCCAGGAAGCUCGGGAUGAGCUAGUUGAAUUCCAGGAAGGAAGCAGAGAAUUAGAAGCAGAGUUGGAGGCACAAUUAGUACAGGCUGAA